GACGAACGCUGGCGGCGUGCUUAACACAUGCAAGUCGAACGGAAAGGCCCUGCUUUUGUGGGGUGCUCGAGUGGCGAACGGGUGAGUAACACGUGAGUAACCUGCCCUUGACUUUGGGAUAACUUCAGGAAACUGGGGCUAAUACCGGAUAGGAGCUCCUGCUGCAUGGUGGGGGUUGGAAAGUUUCGGCGGUUGGGGAUGGACUCGCGGCUUAUCAGCUUGUUGGUGGGGUAGUGGCUUACCAAGGCUUUGACGGGUAGCCGGCCUGAGAGGGUGACCGGCCGCAUUGGGACUGAGAUACGGCCCAGACUCCUACGGGUGGCAGCAGUCGGGAAUAUUGCACAAUGGGCGGAAGCCUGAUGCAGCAACGCCGCGUGCGGGAUGACAGCCUUCGGGUUGUAAACCGCUUUCGCCUGUGACGAAGCGUGAGUGACGGUAAUGGGUAACGAAGCACCGGCUAACUACGUG
rnacentral:rRNA from 1 species